UGGGGAAUUUUGGACAAUGGGGGAAACCCUGAUCCAGCCAUCCCGCGUGUGCGAUGAAGGCCUUCGGGUUGUAAAGCACUUUUGGCAGGAAAGAAACGUCGCGGGUUAAUACCCCGCGAAACUGACGGUACCUGCAGAAUAAGCACCGGCUAACUACGUGCCAGCAGCCGCGGUAAUACGUAGGGUGCAAGCGUUAAUCGGAAUUACUGGGCGUAAAGCGUGCGCAGGCGGUUCGGAAAGAAAGAUGUGAAAUCCCAGAGCUUAACUUUGGAACUGCAUUUUUUAACUACCGGGCUAGAGUGUGUCAGAGGGAGGUGGAAUUCCGCGUGUAGCAGUGAAAUGCGUAGAUAUGCGGAGGAACACCGAUGGCGAAGGCAGCCUCCUGGGAUAACACUGACGCUCAUGCACGAAAGCGUGGGGAGCAAACAGGAUUAGAUACCCUGGUAGUCCACGCCCUAAACGAUGUCAACUAGCUGUUGGGGCCUUCGGGCCUUGGUAGCGCAGCUAACGCGUGAAGUUGACCGCCUGGGGAGUA
rnacentral:rRNA from 1 species